rnacentral:rRNA from 1 species
UGUUAGCGGCGGACGGGUGAGUAACACGUGGGUAACCUACCUAUAAGACUGGGAUAACUCCGGGAAACCGGGGCUAAUACCGGAUAAUACAUGAAACCGCAUGGUUUCAUGAUGAAAGACGGUUUUGCUGUCACUUAUAGAUGGACCCGCGGCGUAUUAGCUAGUUGGUAAGGUAACGGCUUACCAAGGCAACGAUACGUAGCCGACCUGAGAGGGUGAUCGGCCACACUGGAACUGAGACACGGUCCAG